rnacentral:rRNA from 1 species
AGCGAACGCUGGCGGCAGGCUUAACACAUGCAAGUCGAGCGGGCACUUCGGUGUCAUCGGCAGACGGGUGAGUAACACGUGGGAACGUACCCUUCGGUUCGGAAUAACGCUGGGAAACUAGCGCUCAUACCGGAUACGCCCUUUUGGGGAAGGGUUUACUGCGGAAGGAUCGGCCCGCGUCUGAUUAGCUGGUUGGUGGGGUAAUGGCCUACCAAGGCGAGGAUCAGUAGCUGGUCUGUGAGGAUGAUCAGCCACGCUGGGAAUGAGACACGGCCCAGAAUCCUACGGGAGGGAGCAGUGGGGAAUAUUAGGCAAGGGGCGCAAGCCUGAUAAAGCCAUGCCGGGUGAGUGAUGAAGGGCGUAGGGUAGUAAAGCCCUUUUGUCCGGGACGAUAAUGACGGUACCGGAAGAAUAAGCCCCGGCUAACUUCGUG